GAGUUUGAUCCUGGCUCAGAGUGAACGCUGGCGGCAGGCCUAAUACAUGCAAGUCGAACGGCAGCACAGGGGAGCCUGCUCCCUGGGUGGCGAGUGGCGGACGGGUGAGGAAUACGUGGGAAUCUGCCCAGUCGUGGGGGAUAACGUAGGGAAACUUACGCUAAUACCGCAUGCGCCCUUCGGGGGAAAGCCGGGGACCUUCGGGCCUGGCGCGAUUGGAUGAGCCCACGUCGGAUUAGCUAGUUGGCGGGGUAAAGGCCCACCAAGGCGACGAUCCGUAGCUGGUCUGAGAGGAUGAUCAGCCACACUGGAACUGAGACACGGUCCAGACUCCUACGGGAGGCAGCAGUAGGGAAUAUUGGACAAUGGGCGCAAGCCUGAUCCAGCCAUGCCGCGUGAGUGAAGAAGGCCCUCGGGUUGUAAAGCUCUUUUGUCCGGAAAGAAAAGUUCCCGGUUAAUACCCGGGGAUUCUGACGGUACCGGAAGAAUAAGCACCGGCUAACUUCGUGCCAGCCGCCGCGGUAAC
rnacentral:rRNA from 1 species